UGAAGCGAUGAGACCAGAAGAAAGUAAUGAAGUCGGGAAGGAUUCUAUCAAUUUAGAUCAGACCUCAAGGCAAGCUCUCCAAAACAAACUCAACUUCUACAAGAAUAAUGUAAUUACACAAUCAGAACAGGUCUCUGAGCUAAAACCCCCAGAAGCCUCCAGAUGACAUCGGCCCUCCCUCCACCCCCCAGGGGAAUCGUCUAGGGUGGGGUCAUCCGACAGGUGCAAAAAUGAUAAUCCUUGAUGUGUAAAGAGGAUAAACGUGGUUUUAAUCAAAUCAAGAUUUGGUCUUCUGGCUCUACUUCUCCAAGACUACAAGCAUUUCUUCCAGCUUAUCCUGUUACUCUUCCGGUCUUCUGAGAAUAUAGAUGCAAGUACAUGUUCAUAAAGCUUUUAAUCAAAAUACUGUGAAGUGAGAAACUUGCUCCCAUCCGAUCAAAUAUCAUGAUUUCAGUGACUUAUAACAGCAGCUUAUAAGCCGUAACUAAUCUUUGGUUAUUGAUGAAAAAG